UUUUUUAAACGAAACAACCUAUGUUGUCAGUUUGCUGAACAGACUAGAGAAGGUAAUAAAACUAAAACUCUGUGAAAGUUAUGAGACCUAAUGUCUCUAGUGGUGUAGUAUUCUCUAGUAUUGAAUCAGCUAGAUUCAAUGAACUACAGAUAGCUUUUAAUUCCUACAUUGACCUGCUUAGCUACACUAUUUUUAACUUGGUUAAAUACUUUGCUGGGUCUGUAUCUGGACCGCGGUGCACCAGUUAACAACACCUGGUCUAGGGUUGUGUUACAUUUCUGGGGUAUUUUUUUGUGUGUUUUUUUUUUUUUUUUUUUCUGUGACUUCUUCCAGUCCCUCCAGGAUUUUGCAAAAUCAAGCAAACUCAGAAAUAGCAAUAUUCGGAGGAGCUCGCAAUUUUUCACAAGUACUGCAGAUACGGGCCGAGACGCGCCAUGUGACGUCAUCACAACGCGCAUUCAGCCAAAGCCCCCUUCGUUUCACGUGCGUGAAACACGAGUACAGCUAAAAGGUCUCAUUUACCAAAAACAUCACUGUGAAAGACCGUGCAGAACAAUUUCGUGCGAUCGCAAUUUCGCCAAUUCAAAUAGUUUUCCACAAAAAAAAAAACACACAAUAAACUUUUUACAUCGCAUAACAGAUUUUGAAAAAAGCCACAGGAAAAUCAAUCACAGCAACAACCCCCCCCCCCAAAAAAAAAAACCUCUGCAAAAUCCUGUAUGGACUGUUCUUAUGAGUGUUGGUGCCUCUGCUAUAGACCUAAACCAGAAGCAAUAGAUACAGUAGAUUUGCAUUCGUUUGUUUCUUAAAGGAAUGAAAAUUAUAUUUGAUAGAAGGAAAAUGAUUGAACUUUCCUUUGCCCCCCCCCCCCCCCCCCCCGAAAAAAAAUUGUUUGUCGUAUUUCAGAGAUGGUCAAUGAAAAGGGAAAGAGAAGCAGGUAAUAUUUAAUAAAGUAUUUGAUAAAGUCAAAUAAAUGUUUCAGGCAAACUUGCAACUGGAUUUCAUAUUCAAGUCACAUUCAGUGGUUUUAAAACUGGAAAUGUAAUAUCCAAGGCAGCUCGUUUCGAAGUGAACUGUCAGAACCGUUCAGCUGCACUGGAUCUUAAAGCAGUCGUCAUUAUCAUGCAUUACUGCUGAAGGUCAAAUUUUGCACAAAACGGUCACCACCCCAAGAAAACCUUGUAGCAUUUGCGCCAGGACAUUGUUAAACUAUUCUGAUGUUAAAAGCAGUAUUUUGUGCUGUAUAUCAUUGUGUAUCAAUCUGUGAACGAUGUUACAUCCGAUUUGUUUCAGUCUUUGUACAGUGUAAGAGUAUAGACCCACUGAGGUGACAUACUGGGUUUUUUUUUGUUUUGUUUUGUUUUUUAUUAAAGUGCGACCCAUAUGUAGAGUGAAUAGAUUUUUGAAUUUUUUUGUACAAUUUCUGCUAAAUAAUUAACUGGAUAAUUAACGUAUUAAGUCUGACAAUUCAACAACAUAUUAAGUCGUGAGCUUAAGUUACACAAUUCAUUGCCUUGGCAUAAUCAUUUAAAAUAUUAAACUUGUGGCCUCAAUGCGUUAUGCCGUGGCCGCAACCCUAUUAAAAAUAACCACAAAGUCACCUCGGAGGUUCUAUAUAGAAGUCGUUUGUUUGUUUGUUUUUUCACUUUGAGACCGAAAAAUACGAAGAGCUGAUGUGUAUUUAAAAAUGGCACAGUAUCCAUACGUGCCUUUAUACCACUGCUGCAGACUUUUGCUCCUUUGGGAUGUUUUUUUUCUUUCCCCUGUUGAUUACAGAAACCUGCUUUAUUAUUAUUUUUUUAAUUCUUCAAGGCAUUUUGGAAGUGCGGGAACUGUCCUGUAUGCAUAAAUAACUACCGCUAGAAUGCUCCUUGUCCGUUUUUAUAAUGUAGAGUAGAAACUUGCACAAAACAAAAAAAGUCAGUACUGCAUAAAGUACAAAGUGGGGAAAAGGUCUGCCGUGUUAUAAUUUGGUGUGUUCGUUUCCCACAAUCACGGCAUGUGCUUGUGUGUCCCUUCUGUUCAGAUCUUGUUCAACUUGUACAUUUGGGCAGGCUGCACUGAAAUGUGAAAUAAAGAUCAUUUUACAUAACGUCACAGUUUGCCCUGGCAUUUUAUCAGUACGUUACUUUUGCUACCCAGUGUUGUGCAAAA
ensembl:lncRNA